GAGGAACCUUUCCUCCCCUUUUGCCUGCGCUCCGGCGCGCGGAGAGCCUUUGGGAGGAAUUGGGCCAUGAGAAGAGCCUUCAUGAAUGGGAUUAGUUCGCUUAUAAGAAGAGACACCAAAGAAGUGAUCUUUCUCUGCCUUCUGCUACGUGAGGACAAGGUCAUCUGCAGUUUUUUGUUGUUGUUGAUGAUCUUCCUGUCAUAGACAGUGCUGUAACAAACAAACUAAUUGUUCACUGUUGUCAUAUAGAAGUACUACUGAUUAG
rnacentral:antisense_RNA from 1 species